rnacentral:lncRNA from 1 species
CGGAGACACAAGGGGCGGACUUCCGGGGAGCCACUUGUUUGAGAUGUUGCCGAGUGUCUAGUCCGAGAGGGGCCAUGUCAGGCCACGAAGCUGGAGCAAUCGGUGGAGGUCAGUGGGGCUUCUCAUUAACAACCAGGAUGUAAAGAAACUGAGGGAGAGAGAUCACACAAUGGGACUUAAUUUACCACCCCUUAAAAAGAUGGCGUAAUGGACCUAACUCCCUCUGUUAUCUCUGGAUGGUGCCGGGCAGCGGAAGCCUUGCACACUCCGACUCUGCUUGCGGGCGGGAAUUGCACUCCACGGGAAGCGUCAGCGAGGGAGUCCAUCUGCCCAACGAGGUCUUGGCAAAGACCUCCUGACAACCAUGGAUUCCGAAUCCCGCAGGGCCAGCUUCCUGGGUCUGGUCUUCUGAAGGGCAUGGCUGGUCAGAUGAAUGACGGCAGAGGCUCCCCUGGCUGGGGCAGCUGCAGUAUUGCUCCGAGUGGGACUUACCAAACAGCAAAAUGGGGAGAAAGGGUCCAGGAGCAGGUUUCGGCAACAGAGAGAAACAUGAGACUAAGGCUGGGUCUAUUUCCUCUUUCUGUCACUGUGAGCUUUCGUUGAAUAGUCACUGUGCGUCAGGCAUCGGGCUAGGCUUAGCACAUCUGCUCUUCAAUGCAGCCCCAGGAGUCAGGUGCUGUUUUACUGGUGAAGAAGACCAAGGCUCAGAGAGGUGAAGUAACACACCAAGGUCACACAGCUGCCUGCGCCUCGUGUUGCAAGACCACUGUUUAGACUUCUCAACCAAGGAGGCAAAAUCACCUUCUGGGAGGCAAGGGUCAACUGCUGGACGGGGUAAGGGGGACGGUCCCAGCUUGGGGAUGGUGAAAGGGCUGACCUGAAAGUUAGACCAAAGUAGCCAAAUGAGGAGCGGUGAAAGGACGGAACCGAUGGUGGGUGAGUUCAAAACUGAGGAUCGGUGCGUUUGGAAGCAGGAGCAGUGCCCCUUCCAUCCAGACCUUCGAGCUGAGGGCACUGCCUGGAGUGGCUCUGCGUCUGGCGCGUGUGCCAGGAAGCCUUCCUUCUUGUUUCCCACAGACGUGAGGAAGUACUGUGCACUGGUACUUACUGAGCGCUGUGGGGACACAGCUGUCGGCAAGAUUGGAUCUCUGCUCUCGAGCAGUCCACAGGGUCGGGAGAAGAGGGACAUGUACCCAGACAGAGAUGACGGAGACACGGCUGGGAGCAGGGAGGGCUUCUCGGAGGAAACGUCUCUGAGGUGGACCCGGAAGAUGGGCUGGGCUUGCAGCUGUUGGAUUGAGAGCAAAGGGUAGUGCAGGCUGAGGAAACAGCCUAGACACAAAGGUGCAGGGGAGAAACGGGAAGGAAGUGGCCAGGACGGGCACGGAGCCCGAUGUGGCGGGAGUCUGAGCAGCUGGGCUGGCGCAGGCGAGAGGAGCUGGGAAGGUCGUGCUGGCUAGGUUAUGACUGCUCCACCACGUCACUCCUCUGACCCUCAG